CACUGCUGCGUCGACACUGACGAGCAGUGAGAGAGCUUUAAUUCUUAUAGCAGCCACAUAACUUACUUUAGCGACGGAGCAACGGCAAAUCUAUAACACUUGCCAGCAAAUGCAAUACUUCCACAACGGCUCCAAAAUUUUGUCACAACCAAAUCAGAGUGUUUGUUCAGUGCAGGUGGUAUUUAAUUAAUUAUAAAAUAUAAUAUUUAGUUAUUUACCUAAUUUAAUUUAUUUAUUCUUCCUCAUGAGAAUUUAACAUUUGAAGUGGUUAAUAAACUAACAAUUUAUUCAAUAAUCAUUGCUGAUCAUUUAAAAUCAAAAAGAAUCUAUAUUAAUUAUAUUCUUUUUUAGUCAAGUUUGUUUGAAAAUUAAAUUUCACCUUUUUAUUCAAUGUGAAAAUAAAAAGAAAAAGAUACUACUUACAUACAGAAUGUCACAAAUAUUGCCUCCCCCAACUCAAGCCUUUAGUUCCAAAUUAAAGGGGCAUUGCCAAGAAUCAAAUAUUGAACAGAACAUUUUAGGACAUUAGCAAAUCGUUGAUAAUCCUUUGGAAAUGCCUGACAUCUCCGGCCUUGAAACUCUCCAGUGCCUCAACAACAUGAUCAGGGUAAUUGGAAAAUUUUAACCCUUCAGGAACUGCGAACAUCGUGGCGCCUAAUCUAUACUUCGCCAGGUCAGUGCACUCAUUCUUGAAAGCACCUUCCAUGGAGCCUUCAAUGACACUCUUAGGGUAAGCCCUGAAUAGACCACUGGUGUAUUUUGGGCAGAUCGUGAGCUUGUCUACUUCGCCGAGCCGACCCUGCUUGCAGUUCCAUUCUUGGUAGAAUUUGCACGUGAUUAAGCUGCCUUUGUCUGGCUCAACCUUUUCAGUCUCUUCUUGGAUAUACUGCUUAUUUAAAGCCACCAGGAUAUCUGCCUCAGUUAGGAUUGUCAUGGCUUCAUAAAGUUUUGUCAGUCUCGGUUCUCCAAGAAUUGGUGAUCCAACAACGGGCAAUCCAAACGCCCUCCUUGCAACUUCUAGCAGCAUCUCAUAUCUUUCUUUUGCCUCUCUCGCAGCAAGGUUAUUUCCACAUAAGAAUUUCUUCAUCUCAGAUGGAUUUUCCUUGUAAAGUGUACCUAGUUUGUUGGCCUCUUCCUGCCUGUUUUGAAUGUUCAAACCCCAAGUUGUUUCCACAAACAUCGGAGCCCAACCUUGGUGUAUGGGGAAAAGGUCACUGGUAAAAAUGUUCUUCCUAUUCUUGCCGAGGAAGAACCAGUCCAAGAGACAGUUGAGCUCCUGAGACUUCACAUUCAUGGCAGUUAAAUUAUAAGCAAAUUCCUCAUAAGUAGCCUCGCUCUCCAUUGUGGUGCUGAGCUUCUUUGGAUUUUCCUGGUGCUUCUCAAAAGCUGACUCACAGUGCUGCACCAACGCCUCCAGGAACUUGACCAUGUUCUCCAUGGCAGGCGCCUUCUCUCCGACUUCACUUUUAGCCUUCCACAUGAUGGUAGCAGCCAGAGUUGGCAGGUAGUACUGAGUGAACUGCCACAAUGGGAACGGCUCCAGCUGCCCAUCCAACCAUUUAAAAUUUUCAGUCACAAUUUGACCCAUCAGGUCUUGGAUUCUAAUCUGUAAAAAUUUUUUUAUUUGAAAUUCUUUAUAAUUAUUUAUGAAUUUUUUUUCAAAUGUACCUGAAUUUUGUUAAUUGGAGCUGUAAAUCCUCUCUUUGAUACUGAUGUUGGUUUAUUGGCUUCAAAUGUUUGGAGAAAUUUGGCUCUAGUGCACUUCGUCUCUCUGGUUGUCUUGAAAUUCUGUGCUGCGUCUUCAAAAGAAAUCUCUUCAUCUUUCAGAUUUUGGGCACAAAGCUGUUGAACGCCAACAGUUUUAUCUGCAAUAAGGAUACCAAAUGCAUGCAUUCUUCUGAAGUAACAGCGUUUGAAAUCACUGAAGAUAGUCUGAUUGGAGUAUUUCUGUUCUUCGCCUAUCACAAUAGGGUUGUUGUACUUGCCAAAGAUUUCUUGCGACUCAAAGAAGAGCUCUUCAAUUUCCUUUUUAAUGUGUUGCUCCCUUGAAAGCAGCAUGACAUUGAUUAAGAAUUUUUCCAUGCCCGAAUCAUCAGCACUUCCUUUGUUGGGGAUCUUGAUCAUUUCAGAGUGGGUCACCAGAAGACUGUAAGCCUUAAACACAAGUGAACUUUGCUCAUUGUAAAUCCCUUCCCAAGGAGCAGGUUUGAGGCCAGGAAUAAACUUGCGCAGUUUCAACUCCUGUUGCAUCUUUUGAGCAGCAAGAAUUUUGUUAUUCAGUCUGGCGCACAGUUCUUUGAAAUCUAUGGCAUUGCUGAACACAAAUUCUGGCUUGCUCCUCUUUAAAUUCACCCAGAAUCUGUAGGAGUAUACAUGUCUGCUGCUCAGCUCAACCAGUUCUGGCUCAAUCUCAAAAAGAGUAUCAGGAAUAGGUUGGACGAGAUCUAAAAAAAAAAAAAGAAUUGAAUUAUAUAAUAAAAUAUCCAUUAAUCUCGCAUAUAAAAAUAAAUUAUAUCAAUUUAUUAAAAAUUUUACCUUUCAGUUUUUGCUCUCCAUUCCAAAUCAACCUCUUGAAACUCCUGAGUUUGGCUGCACCUCUGUUUGCAUACCAAUCAAUGAGAGGAAUGCAGGGCAGCAAAACCUCAUCCAUAAUCAUCCGAGGGAUUUUGGGAUCAAAGUUGGGAAACUGGUUAACCAUGGCUCCCAGCAGCACAUAUCCAAAAAGUACUCUCUCUCUGAAGGUGUUGUUUAUGUACAGCAUGUCUAGCAUUGGAGUGACAAACUUCUUGGGAAAUGGCCAUAGAACAAAAUCUUUUACAAUGAGGUCCACUGCGUUAGACAUAUUCAUCGCAGACAGGAGCCAGUAGUUGAACUUUGCAGGACACCAAGGCACCUAAAAUGUUCAAGAGGAAGUCAUUGUAAACACGGGUCACUCAAAAUGCCAAACUAUGAGAGAUAAAUGUUUUUCAAAAAAUCCCAGCCCCUCCAUAACAGUUAUUUCUAUUGAUUUAUUUUCCUUACAAAAAAUUGGCAAAAUAUGUUUUAAAAAUGUUAUGAAAUAUAUUUAUUGCAUUUGCAUAAUAUAUACCCGAGCCACUGAGAAAGGGUCACUCAAAACUCCGAAUCCAAGGCCAUCAACUUCACAACGAUAUGGAUCUUUCAAUCGAAUGCAAUUCUCAAUGCUCAGCAUAGAUUUCCACAUGUCAAAGUCACUCUUUCGGAUGUUCACUUUUGGCAAAAGUGUGUCUUGGAUGAGUUUCAGCUGGGCCAGAGAGUUGAACUGUGUUAGACGCAGAAGAGUACACGCAUUGUUCAGACUAUGCUCAUCUCUGGCAAUCAUAGCGGUGUAGAGUUUUUUUACAUCACCCCUCGUGAGCUUGUAGUCAAUGUACUGAAAAAAGCUGUGGUCGACAAUUGUGUGAAGAAAGCUGGCUCUCUUUUUCUCGUCGUCUGGCCGCUUCAGGGCCUCGGCCACCCACUGAUCGAUUUUGUCCAGCUCCAGCAGGUCCUUGAUGGCAUCUUCAUAGUAGAUAAUUUGAUCAUCAUCUUCAUCAUUUAUCAGCUCGCCCUGCUCAUUGAGGGUCAUUGACAUUGGUGACAUGAAGAACACACGUUCAGGUCCAUAACGGGCAAUGGCUUCACGGAUGGCCUGAAGAGAUACAUUACGUAAAAUAUUAAUACAAAUUAAGAUCAAAUCAAAUGGUGGGAUAAUUUAAUUCAUCAUUAAGUGGUGUUUUUUUUUCCAGAAAUUAUUGAUUAAAAAUAUAAAAAAUUAUAUUUUAAGUUUCAGCCUGUACCGAGAGUCUGCCGAGAGUGAUAAUGAAUUCUGAGGGACUCUUUUUCAUUUUUCAUUAUUAAAUGACUGCAUUAUUUCUGGCCGUGGCAAGAUUAAAAAUAUUUGAAUAUAUAAAUGUCCUUUGACUGCCUCUAUGUAUAAAUGUGAAAUAUAAAAAUGCUGAACAUACCUGUUGGUGUUGAGGGUUCAUUAUGAAAAAAUGCUUUAUAGGGUGAUAAUACCAAAAAUUUGUAUGCAGGAACAACACGUGUAUGAUGUACGCUUUUGCCUCGCUAUAAAAAGAAAAUUAAAUAUUUACAGAAUUGGGCUCCGCAGUGAUGAGGAAAAAUAAUAGCACAAAAACAACAAACAUGCAUGUUAGAUAUUAUGCUAUUUAUGUGUGUAUGUGCGCUGCAGUAUGUUUUAAAUACAUAUGUACAUAUGAUAAAUUAAUUAUACCUUUUACUUUACAUGUUAGUUUUUUGGUGUACGCAAAAAAGUAAGAAGAGAAAAUAGAGAAUAAAUUGACCAAAAAACGAAAGGUGUGCGCAGAAUUUGGCACUUCAUUAAAUAUAAUUAACACUUAAUUAAGUACAAUUAUACUCACGGGGAGAGGAGGUGGCAGCGUCACAGCACUCCGGUGCCUGUUGUCUGUUGGCGUUAUUCCUUUCUGUUUUGUUAGACCGGAAAUUUCUCAAAUCCCUUGUUCUGUUUUACUAUUUUUCUAGUUCUUUCAUGCCCAGAUCUGUUCGGCGUUGCGUGCAGUAGGUUGCGUGUGAUCGGCUGUCGGCUGAUUCAUCCUCGUUCGCACACGAAAAUUCCCUUCUCCCGUUGGCAUUGGUUUGAUUGGUUGGCUUGGCUAUUGGCUCGGCUCGGCGCUCGGCCGUAUUAUUUUUCGCAGACGAAACCAAAGCAAACGUCGCAAACCAUCCCUUCUUCUCGCUUCGCUUCUGCUCGCUCAUGCUAACAGGAGACACUAGACAGGAGAUAACGUUGUUCGAACUGCCGCCAGGAUUCUUCACUUCCUCCCAAGGUUCCCAGCGUCUGGCGUCAACGGCGUCCGGCGUCCAUUUUGUGGUUAUCUUUGUGGUUUCGUCUCCUCGACCCUCGACCGCGUUGUGUCAACUCUUCACCGUCUAUCGCAUCGUAGGCUGGAUUCCGCCGCCAAUUAAGAUUCUGAGGGGCAAUCGCGACUACCUCCUGUCUGCCUAGCGGCGCAAUCCGCCAUCAUCUAAGAAUUCGUUCGGAGAACUAAAGAAGAGAAAAUUUGCUGUUUCUGGAGUUCUAGCCGAUUGAGUCAACUGUACGCGAAACAAGAUGAUUGCGUGUGCCACAGCCACAAAGCCGAGUAAAAGGAAAUCUUUCAAAAAUUCAAAAGGGCUAAAAGGAGUAGCACACACGUGAUGAAUAACCAUUCUGUAAGAAAUUCUUGAUGAUGAAGCCAUGAGUUUGUGUGAUGGCCUGAUGAGCCUACCUUCAGUACAGAUCAGCCAAGAAGCCCUUUGUUGAAACUCCCCUGUACCUGAUUUCGCUACACAUUUUGACCUGGGACUCAUGAUAAUUUUGAGGGGACUGAAAAUUGUUUGGCCAUUUGUCAAAACAUGGGUAUAAGCUUGACAAUUAAUACGCUAUCGUGCGCACUGACAAAAAUGGUGCAUAAUUUGUUAUGGUUAUUCUGCUAAAUUUUUGUGUAAUUGCAAAGUUUUAAGGACUCUCCUUAUUGAUAUAGUCAAAUCAAGUCUUUUGACACAACAGAAGCAAUUUUUGGCAAUUAUUGUAAAUUUAACAAACCAUUGUUGUACAGACUUGAUUUGACUAUAUCAUUAAGAAGUCCUUAACUGAAUG